rnacentral:piRNA from 1 species
UGUCAUAUAGGCAAUGUUUGUUUCAUGGA